rnacentral:rRNA from 1 species
AACGCGAAGAACCUUACCUGGGCUCGAAAUGCAGGAGACCGGGGUAGAAAUAUCCCUUUCUCGCAAGAGACUGCUGUAUAGGUGCUGCAUGGCUGUCGUCAGCUCGUGUCGUGAGAUGUUGGGUUAAGUCCCGCAACGAGCGCAACCCUUAUCCCUAGUUGCCAUCGGGUCAAGCCGGGCGCUCUAGUGAAACUGCCUCGGAUAACGAGGAGGAAGGUGGGGAUGACGUCAAGUCCUCAUGGCCUUUAUGUCCAGGGCUACACACGUGCUACAAUGGUCGGUACAAACCGUCGCAAAGCUGCAAAGUGGAGCUAAUCGGAAAAAGCCGGCCUCAGUUCGGAUUGCAGUCUGCAACUCGACUGCAUGAAGCUGGAAUCGCUAGUAAUGGCGCAUCAGAUCGGCGCCGUGAAUACGUUCCCGGGCCUUGUACACACCGACGCGUA